GUGAAUCAUCGAAUCUUUGAACGCACCUUGCGCUCCUUGGUAUUCCGAGGAGCAUGCCUGUUUGAGUGUCAUGAAAUUCUCAACUGCCCCAGGCUUUGUGGCCUGCAGGUGAAGUUGGACUUGGAGGUAUGCUGGCGCAUGAAUGGGCUUUGUGCCCUGCCUUGCUUGUUGGCUCCUCUCGAAUGCAUGAGCUUUCCAAUCCUUGGCAAAGUAUCGUCGAUGUGAUAAUUGUCUUACGUCGCCCGAGAAAGCCGAAAAGGGGAAAUCUUUGAUCACGCUGGGGUGACCCGUGUCUGACAAAUUCGACCUCAAAUCAGGUAGGACUACCCGCUGAACUUAAGCAUAUCAUAAGGCGAGG
rnacentral:rRNA from 1 species